UCAGAUGUCACUUAAAAAAAAUCUUGAUGUCAAAACAACUGAACUAUUCUAAUCAGGGUCUUCUUAACACCUGUAGUGUUUUUUGUUUUUUGUUUUGGAUUUUUCCAAAAUAUUCUAGUAGUUUCUGUUCCUUAAGAAUUCGAUUUUGUCUUGUCCUGUGACACAGCACGUGCUGCCACCUGCACUAGUUCUUUUAUUUCAAGCCCCAGACACCUGUGUGACCUGGGUGGACACCAACCGCUGUGUCCCAGGAUUUGUCUGGGAUGGUGACACCUGUGUCCUCUUGUCCCACUGUGUCUGCACUUGUAGCAGGCCACUGUUGCCACAGAAACCAGAACCUCUGGGCUGGUGAGAGGUAAACCGAGCAGUGUUUCUGUAAACCUGACUCCCACCUGAUGUGGUUCAGUUCAGGAUUCAAACCGAGGCUCUGAUACACGCUGUGGAGACAGAAGCUUUGAACGCCAUUAUGAAUAUGAUUUUGUUUUCACAUUAAGGCGUGUAACUGUGUAUACUGUAUGUGUACAGGCAGACGAACGGUACGUCACGUCGACAUCAAUAUUAUUGAUUCAUCUGUGACGCUGAGAAAUUUUUUUUAACUUCCUACAGAAAUAUUAUUGAAACAUUAUUAUAAUUAUGAAAUGAAAUGAAGAACUUUUCCAGUUUGCCUUUUAAAUGUCACACCACAGUUAGGAGCUUCGACAUUAUAAUGGGUUAUUUGAGGUUUAAUUUUGAGGUUUAAUUGUAACACUACUCGUGUUACACUUUGCUGAUUUUAAUAGGAAAAGUAUGCUUAACAAUUUGUGUUUGGCACCCCCUACAGGUUGAUGCCGUGAAGAGGAACGAGCCGUUUGUUAUUAUUGUCACUGCACCAGGAGUGCAAGCUAACGUCGACACAAACCGCCACGUUACAAUUGGUCUAGUCUUCUCCAUAACUUUAUAACUGGCAGAAAAUUACAUUUGAGUCCUGGAUAUUUUGAUAUUAUGAAAACACUCAGUGUGUGUAUGUGUGUGUGACUUGUGUAGCAGGAAGUUGUCCACAAUCUGCUGAAAGUCUGAUUCUUUCCUCUGACCUGGAGGUGAGCGGGAAAGUUCUGGAAGCUAAUGGACCCUCCCGACACUGUCAUGGAGAGGUGGACUCCUCGGGCUUUUACAAGCUCUGCCUCAGUGACUUGUAUCCUCCUGGAGGUCUCCGCUCCCUGGCCUGGUUUUCAGCUGUCGUACGUUUGUGCCCAGGAUCCUGAAUUUUGCUCUAUGGAUACUUCACUGCUGCUCGUGUGUUUAGUCGUUCUGCUCAGCUGUUCAUCGUGUACUGGCUCAAUGGGCACAGAGUUUGCCUUGCCUUUCCUGACCAAUUAUAAUUUAAAAUACAGAAGCCAGUUUAAACUUUUUAUCACUGCCAGUCAGGAUAAGACUAAAGUGACGGUGUCCGUGCUUCCUUUAAAGUUUAAGGAAGAAAGAACUCUUAAAGCUGGAGAAAGGUUCACCGCCAUCCUUCCGCCCACAGUGAUUCAUGGAACUGAGACUUCACCCAACACAGUGCUUAUUGCGGCCUCAGCAAAAGUGUCCGUGACGGCUUUAAACUACAAGGAUUAUACAGCUGAAACCUCUGUGCUGUACCCCGUCACUGAAUGGGGGCGAGACUAUUUUAUGUUCACACCGAGUUCUCUUUACUAUAAUGAAUUCUCUGUUACAAAUGGAAAAGAGAAAAACAGAGUUGAAUUUUUAGCAAAAGACAAAAUUGUUUUCCACCAAAAAACCUUAAAGCAUUUAAUUGUGGAGCUCCAGCCGUACGAGAGUGUCCAAUUCUAUAGUGAACACGACCUGUCUAGCAUCAGAGUUGUCUCCCAGCACCCGGUGGCUGUUUUCACUGGUCACACCUGCUUCAACAAGUUCUCGAGAUGUGAUCAUCUCUAUGAGCAGCUACUGCCUGUGAACAGAUGGGGGUCUAAAUUUAUAGUCCCUCCUCUAAGCACUAAGAACAAAUAUGUUAACAUUUACCUUCAGUCCUCCCAGCCCACGCAUAUUGUCAUUCAAAGUGGCAACACAAAAAAUGAUUUUUCUCUGUCCGCCGGGGAAACGAAGGAGCUCAAACCUUCCAAAUCUGAGGCACUGUCGAUUCAGGCCGAUCAUGGCAUUCAGGUCCUCCUGCUCUUCAAUGUUAUCACAUACCCAAUUUAUAAAUACAGGGACCCAUUUUUAAUGACCAUCAUGCCCAGCGACCAGUUCUGCUCCUCAUUCUCUCUCGUGGCUCAGGACAUCGUUGAAAGCAUUGCCCUAAUUGUGGCACAGACUAGUGCAUUGGCAGAGCUGCGGAUUAAUGGUAAAGACUUGCCUGCUUCUGUCCAGUGGAAAAAGGUUACAGGGACAGAAUUCUCUUGGGCAGAAAUAUCUUACCCGCUAGGAAACAGUCAACACACAGUGUCCAGCUCCAAGACACCUUUUGGUCUUUACAGUAUAAGUCUUGAUCAAAGGAUUGGCUACGGUUCGCCGGCCCAAUGCUUGCAGCCAGCUGGUGGAUCCAGCACCUGCUGGGCUGCAGGAGACCCUCAUUACCACACGUUCGACGGGCGGCGGUUUGACUUUAUGGGAACCUGCACGUAUGUCAUGGCAAAGAACUGUAAAAAGAACGAUUUUCCAGCUUUCGAGGUUCUUGCCCAGAAUGAGAAUCGUGGUAACCUUAGAGUGUCUUACGUCACCCUGGUCACAGUCAAAGUCUAUGAUAUCACAGUCAUCGUUGCUCGAUCUGAGAAAGGUCGUGUCAGGAUCGAUAACAUUCUGGGGAGUUUGCCUGUUUCCUUGAACAACAAUAAACUCCGCAUGUUUUACAGCGGUCGCUCUGUAGUCAUCGAGGCUGACUUUGGUCUCACCGUACGAUACGACUGGGAACACCAGCUUGUGGUCACGCUGUCCGAAAGCUACGCUGGUCAAACCUGCGGCCUCUGUGGCAAUUUCAAUGGCAACCCAACGGAUGAUUUCAUAACGCCCUCUGGGUCUGAAGCACAAGGGGCUGUGGCCUUUGGCAGCAGCUGGAAGGUCCCAGGGCAGGUGAAGGAUGCUGCGUGCAGAGAUGAUUGUGUAGGUGGCUGUAAGAGCUGUAAACACCACCAGAUGAUGACGUGGGAGGGUGAGACGUUUUGUGGGAUUAUCACUGUUCCAAACGGGCCAUUCAGUGACUGCCAUGCUGUCAUUGAGCCACAGACAUACAAGGAGAACUGCAUGUAUGAUGUGUGUAUGGGAGAUGGCCUUCAUCAUUUCCUCUGCAGGGCACUGGAGACGUAUGCCGAUGCCUGCCAGGCCGCAGGGAUCCAGAUUAAAGAUUGGAGGCAGAACACAAAGUGCUCCCCACAAUGCCCAGCAAACAGUCAUUAUGAGUUGUGCGGCAGUGCUUGUCCUGCCACUUGUUCUGACCCUAAUGCACCGUCAACAUGCAAAUACCCAUGUGUGGAGACCUGCACAUGUAACUCGGGCUUCGUUUUAAGUGGAGAUAAAUGUGUGCCGGAAAAACAGUGUGGUUGCACCUACGAGGGCCGAUACAUCCCUCCAGGAGAGUCGCUGUCGGUCGACCAGAGCUGUCAGCGGUUGUGUGAAUGCAAGCCCAGAACAAGAAAAGUAGCAUGCUACAAUAAGGCUUGUGAACCUGGAACAAAGUGCCAGGUGCUUGAGGGCAUAAAGAAGUGUCAUCCAGUGUCCCAGAGCACAUGUCGGGCCACGGGGGACCCACACUACACCACCUUUGACAACAGACGGUUCGACUUUCAGGGCACAUGUGUGUACCAACUCGUUGCACUCUGCUCCAAGAACCAAGAGUUGGUGCCCUUUGAAGUUCGGGUGCAGAAUAAGCACCGUGGCAACAAGAGGGUGUCGUUCACCAAGUUAGUGGAGAUCAGAGUGUAUUCUCUCAGCAUUGUAAUCACGGAGACGUACAGGGGGCAGAUUAUGGUAGAUGAUGUCCUGGUCGACCUGCCCGUUACUUUAGCAGGGGGUCAGGUGUCCGUGUACAAGAGUGGCUGUUAUGUUGAUGUCAUCACCAACUUUGGGCUUAAAGUUCAAUUUAACAGAAUAUCAGCUGUAUUUGUAACGUUGCCCAGCAACUACAUGGAAGCCGUUUGCGGCCUAUGUGGCAACUAUAAUGGCAAACCCCAAGACGAUCUGAUUCCAAAGAACAGCGACCACGCCGUUGCACCAGCAGAUUUUGGGUCCAGUUGGCGAGUGGCGGAGAUUCCAGGCUGUGUUGACGGAUGUGAAGGGAAGUGCCCCAGCUGUGACAUUAACCAGAAGGUUCAGUAUGAGCAAAAAGACUUCUGUGGUAUCAUUAAAGACCCCAAAGGCCCUUUCCAUGACUGUCACGCUAUAGUGGACCCGACUGGACACUUUGAAGAUUGUGUUUAUGAUGUUUGUCUGUACAAUGGCAGACACAAUGUGCUUUGUGAGGCCAUUACAGAAUACACAUCUGCCUGUCAUGCUGCAGGAGCCAAGGUGUACAGCUGGAGAACUAGUCAGUUCUGUGCACUGAAAUGCCCAGUGAACAGCCACUACGAAGUUUGUGCAACUUCCUGUCCUGCCACAUGCAAGGACCUGGCUUCUCCUCAAGGCUGCCGGGAGGAGUGUGCGGAGGGCUGUUCCUGUGAUGACGGCUACAUUCUUAGUGGAGAUGAAUGUGUUCAAUUCUCAAAAUGCGGCUGUGUCUAUAACGAUCGCUACUACCGGGCCGGACAAGUGUUUUAUCCAAAUGGACAGUGUGAGGAGGAGUGCAAGUGCACGCCAAAUGGAGAGGUUCUUUGCAAGGCGUUCAGGUGUGGACCCCACGAGAAGUGCAAAGUGGAGAACGGUGUCCAGAAAUGUCAACCCGUUGGUAAGGGCGUCUGCCGUGCCUCGGGUGAUCCCCAUUACAGGUCUUUUGACGGGCGAGUGUUUGAUUUCCAAGGCAUGUGCACUUACACACUCUCCCAGAGCUGUGGGCUGGAAGGUACCCACCUGGUGCCGUACAACGUUCUGGUUGAGAACACGCAGUGGAACAAGAUGAGGAAUAGGAAAGUGGUGGCCGUCACCAAGAUGGUUGCUGUCGAGGUCUAUGGCUUCACUGUCACCAUGAAGCACAGUGUGUUUGGAGUCCUGGUGAAUGGAGUAUUCAACCACCUUCCUCUGAGUCUCAAUGAUGGAGCUGUCCUCGUCUACCAGGAAGGGAAACAUUUUGUUAUUGCCACAGAUUUUGGACUGCGUGUCACUUACAAUCGGAUCUACCACGUGACUGUCACAGUGCCCGGUAACUACCGUGGAAAGGUCUGUGGCCUGUGUGGCAAUUUUAAUGGUGACCAAAAAGACGACUUCCAAAUGCCUGACAAGCAGCUGACAACUAACAGAAACAACUUCGGAAAGUCAUGGAAAGUGACCAUUCCAGGUGUGGCGUGCAGCGAUGGCUGCGAGGGGAACUCUUGUCCGGAGUGUGACUCAGCUCGAAAGGCUGUGCUUUCAGAGACCUCUUACUGUGGUAUUGUUACAGCACCCACAGGUCCUUUUUCAGUCUGCUAUAGUACACUGGACCCACAGUCAUACUUCAGUGACUGUGUGUAUGAUGUGUGUGCGUCUAAUGGAGAUGAAGAUGUACUGUGCGAAAGCAUAGCAGCCUAUGUUGUUGACUGUCACGAUGCAGGGACGGAGGUGCCGAACUGGAGGACAGCUUCAUUCUGUCCAAUGAAAUGUCCAGCCAACAGUCAUUAUGAGGUCUGUGCAGACCCCUCUUCUGAUUCCUGCCCAGGCCUCACAGACAUGCUUCAGAGCACCUCCAAUAAAUGUACCGAAGGCUGUGAGUGCGACGCCGGCUUCUUAUUCAAUGGACAAACAUGUGUAUCUGAGACUGAAUGUGGCUGCUAUGAGAAUGGCAAGACAUACAAGCCUGGUGAGACCGUGUACGAAGAAGACUGUAACAUAAAAUGCACCUGUAAUCCAGCAACAGGACUUGUUUGUGAAAAACACACCUGCCCUAAGAAAACCAAAUGCAUGAUCAGGAAAGAAAUCCGUGCAUGCUACAACACAGAUCCAUGCCAAGAUGUCAAAUGUCGAGAGAAAGAGACAUGCCAUGAUGAGAAGGGAGAAGCUGUAUGUCGCCCUAACUACACAGGCACAUGCUGGGCCUGGGGUGACCCCCACUACCAUACAUUUGAUGGUUAUAAUUUUGACUUUCAAGGCACCUGCAAGUAUGUCAUCUCAAACACGUGUGGGAAUCUGAAUGGUCUAGUUCCAUUCUCAGUAACUGAGAGAAAUGACAACCGUGGAAAUAAAGCGGUGUCCUUUGUCAGAGAAGUAGACGUGUCUGUCUAUGGGUUCAACAUCACUGUAGUCAAGAACCAAAUAGGACAAGUUAUGGUGAAUGGAGAACGUCUUAAUCUCCCAAUAGAACUGGGCGACGGUCAAGUGUCAGUGUUUCAAAGUGGACGCACAGCAGUGAUAGACACAGACUUCGGCCUCGUGGUUAGCUAUGACUGGAACUGGAAACUGGUCAUCAAGCUGCCCAGCAGCUACUACGGCAGUGUCUGUGGUCUCUGCGGAAACUUCAAUGGCAACAGAGGUGAUGAGCUCCGGAAUCCAGCUGGGAAAGACGUUGCGUCAGUGACAGAGUGGGGCCAGAGCUGGAAAAUACCUGAGCAAGAUAAAGAGCAUCCGUGCUCGGACAAAUGCGAGAAAAACUGUCCAGCUUGUGACAACAGCCAGAUUAAGUUCUAUGAGUCGAAAUCCAUGUGUGGCGCACUCAGUUAUAAGAAAAGCAGUGUGUUCAAGGCAUGUCAUGACAAAGUGGAUCCCCGGCCCUUUAUGGAGAGCUGUGUAUAUGAUGUAUGUCUGAAUAAGGGAGACAAGAAGAUGCUUUGUCAGGCAUUGGCCUCCUAUGCUGAGCAGUGUGGUGAAGAAGGAAUACAAAUACAGGGCUGGAGGAAAACGUUUGGCUGCCCCAUGAACUGUCAGCCUAACAGCCACUAUGAAGAAUGUGUCGGACCAUGUCAGCCGUCCUGCCCAUUCCCUGAGCAGAGGCAAAUCUGUCAAGGUGUCUGUGUGGAGGCCUGUGUGUGUGAUGCAGGUUACGUCCUCAGUGCUGGUGUAUGUGUCCCAGCUAAUACCUGCGGUUGCUCCUAUCAGGGUCGAUACUACCAGCCCGGUCAGCGCUUCUGGGCCGAUGAUGAUUGUAGGCAACUUUGUGAGUGCGACUCGACCCAGGGCAUGGUGAAAUGCCGCCAGUCGUCCUGCUCUGCCAAAGAGAGGUGCACCACAAAGGACGGGGAGCGUACCUGCCAACCCAUCAGUCAUGCCACGUGUUCAGCAUCAGGAGACCCACACUAUCGCACUUUUGAUGGCCACAAGUUUGACUUCCAGGGAACAUGUGUGUAUCAGCUGGUGGGACUGUGCUCUCAGCAGCCAGGACUUGAGCCGUUCAAGGUGAGCGUGCAGAAUGACCAUCGGGGAAGCAGGGCCGUGUCCUACACUAGGACAGUUGUGUUUUCCAUAUACGGAGUCAACAUCACUAUCACCAGGGAACACCCCAACAAAAUACUGCUCAACGGAGAGGUGACUCUGUUGCCGCUGGACUACAGAAAUGAGCUUUCCAUAUAUCACAGUGGUCACAGAGCUGUUGUGAAGACAAAGGCUGGUAUCACCGUGACCUUUGACUGGCGGAGCACUGUGCGGGUCACUCUGCCCAGCAGUUACCAGAAUGCAGUCUGUGGUCUGUGUGGCAACUACAAUGGAAACAAUAAGGAUGACCUGAUCAUGCCGAACGGCCAGGCCGCCCCUGAUGGAGCCAGGCUGGGCGAGAGCUGGCAGGUGGCCCUCACUCCAGGCUGUUCAUCAGUCUGCCAGGGGGCACAGUGCCAGUCCUGCUCAGACUCCCAGAAGGAAAAGUACCAACUCCAGAGGCACUGUAAUAUAAUUGCUGACAAAGCAGGGCCUUUCAGAGAAUGUCACAAGCACGUUGACCCGGCUCCUUACCUAGAGGACUGUGUGUAUGACGCCUGUAUUUAUCAGGGCCGCCCUGGUUCAGUUUGUGAGGCUGUGGAGGUGUACGUCACCGCCUGUCAGGACCUGGGAGUCAACAUCUACCCCUGGAGAAACAAUUCCUACUGUCCUAUGGCGUGUCCAGCCAGCAGCCAUUACUCCUUGUGUGCCACAGGCUGCCCAGCCACCUGUGCUAGUUUAUCAACCCUCUUCUCCUGUGACGCGCAUUGCAGAGAAGCCUGUGAGUGUGAGGAUGGCUACCUGGAGAGUGGAGGUACCUGCAUCCCUGUGAGAGACUGCGGCUGUUCAUACAAUGGCCAGUACUUCAGGAACGGAGACGUCUUUUACCGUGACAAUAAAUGUGGACAGAAGUGUGUCUGUGGAGAUAACGGUGCUGUAUCAUGUCAGAACGCCAAGUGUCAGCAGGGGGAGGUCUGCAAGAUUGUUAAUGGAGUAAAAGCCUGCCAGUCUGAGAGCCAAGGCAAGUGUGUUGCAUCUGGUGACCCUCAUUACACUUCCUUUGAUGGGCGCAGAUUUGACUUCCAGGGCACUUGUGUCUAUGAGUUGGCCAAAGUUUGCGACGAUAAUGAUGGUCAGCUGACACCAUUCACUGUAACUCAGGGAAAUGAGAAGUUUGGAAAUGGUAAAGUGGCUGUUACUGAGUCGGUCUCAGUGACGGCCUAUGGUUUUAUCAUUAACAUCCAGCAGAGAAAGCCAUGGAAAGUCAUUGUUGAUGAUGAACUUCUCAACCUGCCUCUAUCCCUGGGAGAUGGGCUUAUAACUGUAACACAGGAAGGUCUCAAUAUAGUUGUCAGAACUGAGUUUGGGCUGACGGUCCUCUAUGACACAGUCUACUAUGUUGAGGUGAUUGUGCCGUCCGCGUAUAAGGGAAAGAUGUGUGGCCUUUGCGGUAACUACAACAACAAGCCCGAUGAUGAUUUCACUCUUCCCGAUGGCAAACAAGUCACCGACGUUGACGAGUUCGGAAGGGCAUGGGCGUUCCACCUGCCUGGGUUCAUGUGUGGUGGAUGUGGAGGAAAGUGUCCAGUGUGUGAGGAGGACAAGGCUGCAAAAUACAGGACUCCAGACUCCUGCGGCAUGAUAAGUGCACCGAACGGCCCUUUCAAAGCCUGCCACAGCGAGAUCGACCCAGCGCCGUAUAUGUCCAAUUGUGUGUUUGAUGUUUGUGCCGUGAACGGCAUCAUGGAAACUCUGUGUGACAGUGUGCAGGCCUAUGUCCUGGCCUGCCAGGGUGUCGGAGUGAAAAUCCAGCCGUGGAGAAACAGUACCUUCUGCCCUGCUUUCUGCCAUGCACACAGUCACUAUGAGGCGUGUGUCGACACAUGUGCUGGAACCUGUGCCAGCCCUAUGAUUCCGUUUGCCUGUUCUGAAAGCUGCUUUGAAGGAUGCCAGUGUGAUGAUAACUUAGUGUUUGACGGUGCCCAAUGUGUUCCUUUGGAAAACUGUGGCUGUCUGUAUGAAGGGAAAUAUCUGAAGGUGGGAGAAGUGAUUACGGGAAAAGACUGUAAGUCCAGGUGUGUCUGCCAGGCCUCUGGUCUACUGAGUUGUCAACAGGUUGCCUGUGACAGUGGUUACGAUUGUCGCGUGAAGGACGGGGCCAGAGGUUGCUACGAUAAAGAAAGUCAUUGCAACAUCAGUCAAGACGGACAGUUCACAUCUUUUGAUGGCUUGUCUGGACCCAUGGGUUUUAGUGGUGCAUUUGAGGUGGCAUCGCUGUGUGACGAGCGAGUCAUCAUGUGGUUCAGAGUGGUCGUGGACGUCAGGGUGUGCAGUGAAGGAGCAGCGCCCACUGUUGCCACUGUUUAUGUGUUCUUCAAGGACCUUGUGGUUACAGUAAACAGCCAAUAUAUGACCUGGGUAAACGGCAGGAGGGUUUCUCUUCCCAACAAAUUGACAUGCAAUUUAUCUGUCAGAACUUCAGAGGACACGCUGAUCAUCGAGAGAAAGCCUACUGUCAGGGUCACUUACUCAAUUUCACGGGGGGUCACUGUCAUGACUGACAGCACACUGUCGGGUAAAAUGUGCGGUGCCUGUGGCAAUUUCAAUCACAACACCAAAGAUGAUUUGGUGACUGCAGAUGGUAAAACGACCACUGAUGUGUCUGCGGUGGUCACCUCCUGGAGCGCUGGAGACUUUUCCAAGUGGUGAGUAUAUGAAAUUCUCCUUCAACACCAGGGCCUUUGCUGUCCUCUCCACAUGACUCCCACUGUGAUGUCUGAUUAAUUCAACAGCACAGCAACAUCGACGGCUCGUCUUUCCUUUACGUUACAAUUUUGCCUCGAGUAAAACUUUAAGUCCCGAACCCUGAGGUGCCCUUUAUGAUGCAAAUUCCAAACCUAAUUUGACCAGCGAAAUAAUCGAGUACAGAUCAGCCGGUGAUGGGACAGCUCUAUGACCAUUCAACCGCUUAUUCUCUUAACAGCUAGAACUAAACAAGGACUCCACAGAGCCCUUUUAAAGGAAUGAGAGUGUGGUUUUUAAUUGCAUUUGAUCCAAUUUAAUUAAGAAAUACCAGAGAAUCCCCUAUGGUAAUUACUGAUUAAAAGGCAGGUGAGUCUGACAGGCCUGGCCAUCAAAAGCCGCCAUGCUUGCAAUCCAAUCACCGCUUGUCAUCCAAGGACACUUAAGACUCACCUGGCGGCCUGCAGUGAUACUGGAUGUGUGGCAGUGGAAGGCAUCUGUUUCUGAGGGACGAAGAAGAAUGUGAAGUCUUUCAUCUGAAGAUGACUUGUUUACAUCCAGAUUGUCUCAUUAUAUCUCUUCCACUUUCUUCAGAUUCAUAAUGUGGUGUUGGCGGUCGGUGGUGGUUACUUGAUUUCUGAUUUCUUUGUUCAUCAUGGAGCAGGAGGGAAAAUGUGGUCCAUUCUUGGCUAACACCUCCAUCUAGUGGUGACAAUAAACCUUAAAAUCACUUUCCUUUCCUUUUUUGUGCGAAUGACCACAAAAAGGAACCAACAUCCAAUCAAAAUGCAUUUUCUUUAUUGUGGGAUUGGUCUCAAUAAAAAAAAUGCUGUGUGCAGCUAAGAAACAUUGUCUUAAUGUUACUGUUGGGGGACAAAGGGGCGUCUCACCCACACCACAAUAAGACACAGGAGAAGCACAUGUGUAUAUGUGUGUAGAAGGUUGAACUUUAGAUAUGUGUGUGUGGAUAUACUGUAUAUGUUACAUGUUUCUGUGUGUGUGUCUACUAUAUAUAUUAUAUAGCAAAAAAAAGUGUACGACAAAAUAGUGGGGUGUCAGGGAGAGCAGGCCCCCCGCCUUACUCCUCCUCCUUCUCCUCCUCCUCGUUUUUCCCUCUCCUCUUUCUUGAGACAACACUGAGGAUCACGUUAUUGCUCUAACUUGGUCGAGCUGCACAGUCAUUUCUACAAUCUGCACAGAAUGCAUCGCAUGAGAGUAUUUCGUUUUUAGUCUACUUUCGUCCAUGGUCAUAUGAAGCGGUUUUAUAUUAUUGUCACGUGGGGUUUAUUUUUACAAGUUUAAAAAAAAGUUUGACUCAAGUUUGGCGGAAAGCAGUUUCACCGACGUUUAGAAAGCCAUAAAAACA